ACUUCCUAGAAAAUUCAAUCCAAAUGAAGAUUCCUGCCAGACAAAAGGUGCCACCACAGGAAACUCAUGCUGCCCAAGAAGUGCCCAGGCUGCAUCAACUACACCUGAAACCAAAGCUUCCAGACUUUUUUUCCUGGUGGAAUGGGCUGCUGUUCCCUUUUUUCAGCCUUGUACUGCAAUGGCCGGUCCCAUCUCCUGGAAAAUUGAAUCCAAAUGAAGAUUCCUGCCAGACAAAAGGUUCCACCACAGAAAGGUCUUGCUGCCCAAGAAGUACCCAGCCUGCCCCAACAACUACACCUGAAGGACAAAGGUUCCAGCCAU